rnacentral:pre_miRNA from 2 species
CAAAUACUCCCUUGAUCCGUAAAUACGUGUCAUAGGAAUGAAUGUAUCCAGAUCUAUUUUAGUUCUAGAUAAAUUUAUUUCUAUAUAUUUAUGUGACAAGUAGUUUCGAAUGGAGGGAGUAGAAG